GACGAACCGUGCGAACGUUAUUCGGAAUCACUGGGCUUAAAGCGCGUGUAGGCGGGACGGCACGUCGGUCGCUGAAAGCCCCCCGGCUCAACCGGGGAACGGGCGCCGAUACGACCGCCCUGGAGGAACGUAGGGGGACCUGGAACUUCCGGUGGAGCGGUGAAAUGCGUUGAGAUCGGAAGGAACGCCCGUGGCGAAAGCGAGGUCCUGGACGUUUACUGACGCUGAGACGCGAAAGCCAGGGGAGCGAACAGG
rnacentral:rRNA from 1 species